rnacentral:rRNA from 1 species
GAAUGCUGACAUAAGUAACGAUAAAGCGGGUGAAAAGCCCGCUCGCCGGAAGACCAAGGGUUCCUGUCCAACGUUAAUCGGGGCAGGGUGAGUCGACCCCUAAGGCGAGGCCGAAAGGCGUAGUCGAUGGGAAACAGGUUAAUAUUCCUGUACUUGGUGUUACUGCGAAGGGGGGACGGAGAAGGCUAUGUUGGCCGGGCGACGGUUGUCCCGGUUUAAGCGUGUAGGCUGGUUUUCCAGGCAAAUCCGGAAAAUCAAGGCUGAGGCGUGAUGACGAGGCACUACGGUGCUGAAGCAACAAAUGCCCUGCUUCCAGGAAAAGCCUCUAAGCAUCAGGUAACAUCAAAUCGUACCCCAAACCGACACAGGUGGUCAGGUAGAGAAUACCAAGGCGCUUGAGAGAACUCGGGUGAAGGAACUAGGCAAAAUGGUGCCGUAACUUCGGGAGAAGGCACGCUGAUAUGUAGGUGAAGCGACUUGCUCGUGGAGCUGAAAUCAGUCGAAGAUACCAGCUGGCUGCAACUGUUUAUUAAAAACACAGCACUGUGCAAACACGAAAGUGGACGUAUACGGUGUGACGCCUGCCCGGUGCCGGAAGGUUAAUUGAUGGGGUUAGCGGUAACGCGAAGCUCUUGAUCGAAGCCCCGGUAAACGGC